UCCGCGGAUACAGCAGCAGCCCUCGCAAACAGGUUCUUCUCUUCCUUCGUCAGUUGCAGCCGCGCCUGCGCCCGCACACACAGGUUCUUCUCUUCCUUCGGCCGCCGCAGCCGCGCCUGCGCCCGCACACACAGGUUCUCCCUCUUCCUUAUUUCUUCCUCCCAUUUCUUUCCUUUCUCCUCCUUUCCUCCUUUCUUCUUCUUCCUCUUCUUCUUCUGCUGGUUUGAGAAAAUCUAAACCGAAACCAAACCGUUUUCGAUCGUCUUCGAAAGUCAUCGUCUUCGAUCGUUUUCUCAUUUCUUCUAGGGUUUGCUUUGCGAUUCAUCGGUAGAACUCUUCACACUUGGAUUGUUAUUCGCGAGACGACCGUGAAAAAGAAAACAACAUAGUUCUUCACUUGCAUCUGAUCGGAGUUUAUUGCGCACAUCGAACACGUUUAAUUAACUGAAUGACA